rnacentral:ncRNA from 1 species
CCCUUACUCAGGUGCUACGAAUCUCGGGGCGCUGUUUCAUGCGGGCCGCCCAUGCCCCGAGGGGAGCGAAUCGCGAGACCGACUGAGCGAGGC